rnacentral:lncRNA from 1 species
CUGCGCGGCGCUGCUCCCGGAGGCCGCAGCGGUGGUCGGGGCAGGCGGGAUGAGGUUGCCGUCAGGUGCAGUGGACGCGUGAGACGUGGCACUGUUUCUGCGUCUCCUUCCUCGCAGAAUCACGGAACCCAGUAGGUUGGAGAAGACUUCUGAGGUCAUCGAGUCCAACCUAUGACCGAACACCACCUUUACAUUACAACUGGACCCUUGCACUGAGUGCCACGGCCAGUGUUUCCUUAGCACCUCCAGGGUCGGUGACCCCACCGCCUCCCUGGCAGCCCAUUUCAGUCCUCUCCCAUCUCGGGGCUUCCUGGGCGCCCCCGAGCGGGACCAGCACAGGAGCCUGUGCCCCGAGCAGACCUGGCUCGCCCGCCUGGCCACUCGCUCCUUCCUCCUCUCCCACCUCCAGCUGCCGCCCCCGCCUGGGGCACUUCUGCUGUGGGCUGGGUGCACCAGGCCGCUGCAGCCCCUUCCUCCUCCACCCUCCUUAGCAUCCCCCCGUUCGCCUGCUGCAUCCUCAGCCCAAGCUUGAAGGCCCCAGUCAGGCUGGAGCCUGUGUGGAGAAAAAAGUAUUUAAUCUCAUCGAGAGUCCACUCUGGGAGGCUGAGGCACAGAAGGCGCCCAUGCCACGCUGUCUGGAAGAAUGAAGAAAACAGGAGGUUACGGGUAGUUUUACCGGGUUGUUUGUAUCCAUGGCUGUGUUUUUCAGGUAUCCAGUUACUGCCCAAGAGUACUGAGCUGGGUGGCUGCCGGGACAAGAGACAUCCCUGAAUGCGCGGCGAGGCGAGAAAACCUCGGGGCUUCAUUGGGUUCCCAGUGCAGCCACUCUGCUUUUGGCACUGUGCACAUCAACACGAGAUACAAGAUAAAGAACAAGCAGAAGCUCUCUGUGAAGCGGUUAUGAAGCAUACUAAUAAGGGAAAUCCAAGUGUUGUCUACGCUAGUAUAAAUAAGCAGACAGCCUUGUUUUAAGAGCGUAAGUAGUUGUAUCUUAAAGAUGAGAAAAAACACAAGUUCUGCAGGCACCUACUGCUGUCUACUAAAAGCUACCGCUAUUAGAACUAGCAUUGAACACACAAAGCAAUUGCAAGAAAAGGAAAAAGUUGCUUUGAUAUAAUCAGAAUAAAUUUCUUUGUUAAGAUUUGUUUUAAAGUUUG